GACGAACGCUGGCGGCGUGCUUAACACAUGCAAGUCGAACGAUGAAGAAGAGAAACGCGAGCUUCGGUUCAAAUUUCACUUCGGAUUAGUGGCAGACGGGUGAGUAACGCGUGAGCAACCUACCUCUUACAAAGGGAUAGCCUCGGGAAACCGUGAUUAAUACCAUAUGACACAUUCAUAAGGCAUCUUAAGAAUGUUAAAGCUACGGCGGUAAGAGAUGGGCUCGCGUCCCAUUAGCUAGUUGGUGAGGUAACGGCCCACCAAGGCGACGAUGGGUAACCGGCCUGAGAGGGUGAACGGUCACAUUGGAACUGAGACACGGUCCAAACUCCUACGGGAGGCAGCAGUGGGGAAUAUUGCACAAUGGAGGGAACUCUGAUGCAGCGACGCCGCGUGAGCGAUGAAGGAAUUCGUUUCGUAAAGCUCUGUUCUAUGGGAAGAAAAGGACUGUACCAUAGGAGAAAGCCCCGGCUAAAUACGUG
rnacentral:rRNA from 1 species